CUUAAUAGAAAACUGGCCUAAAUAAACAGAAAUCAACAGAAAAAUAUAACUCACAAUUACACGUGGGGAGAAAAUUCAAUAAAACUCAGACCUUGCCAACAAUGACAAGAAGCAGAAUGCCACCAGCUGUGAGGACCGUAGAUCAUACUAGCCAGAGGACACAUCCAUGGGUACAUUUCUGGAAGCAAAGUGCGGAAUACUGGGCAAGCAUCCUGAAACCAUCAGAGGUUGAACCAGCAACACCCUAAGAAAUGACUCGGUGUGAGGUCCAAGAGGCUGCUCACAUUCGCAGGAAUAAUGAAGAAUCAGAAGCAACCUACAUUUCCACUAAAGAGUUCAAUUUUAGUGCAUCUCUGCAGGGUAGUAAUGUAUAGGCACUGAAGAUUGUAUUUUCAAAUAUUUAAUGAUGGAUACUCUCUCAAUAACAUGUUCCAUGACAAACACGGGAUGCAAACUGGCCCUCUCUGCCCUGCACACCAGCUGUGAGAGAGUAGGGGUAAGUGGAGGAGGAGGAGAGGAAAAUAUACAAAUAUGUUUGGGAUACUAGCUGUGGGUAGGGAGGUCAAGGUCUUUUCAAAUGUUUUCUCUAUACUUUUUAGCAGUUUCAACUUUCACACAGACCAUGUUACGAUUGAGAAAAGAGAGAAGUCCCGCAUAUCCUGAGUCUGUGAGGUCAUAGCAGAUGGGCUGUGGUCACAAGGACCUGCCCCUCACUCUGUAGACCGCAACCUGUGGCCUCAUAGCCAGGUCACAUAUCAGCACUGUGGCUGGCUCCAAUGGGACUUAGAGGGCACACAAAGGGACCCAAUUCCACAGGUGAACAAAUAAGAGGUGCCUCUCCCAGGCAGGAAAUAUCCUGAAGGUACAGCAUGGAGAAAACAGAGAACACAAGAGUUUCAAAGAGCCAGAAGACCUGGUGGCAGGCCUGGGGAUGCUGAGACAAUACAAGCGUGCAGGAAGCCACAGGCACAGCUCACACUGAAGGAAGGUGGGGGGUUGCUCCACUGCCCAAGAAAAGAGAUCCACAUGGACUAUUUGGGACUUUCAGCAGAAGAGGUGGCCCAAAACUAGCAACAGGAAAGAAAUAAAAAAGAGGAGAGCAGAAAUAAGCAAAGUGGAGAACAGAAAAACUGGAGAGAAAAUUGGCCCAGCCAAAAGUUGGUUUGCUGAAAAGAGUGAUAACAUUGCUAAGAUCUUUGAGCUAGAAUGACUAGACAAAGAACAAACAGAAUUGAAUCACUGAAAUCAAGAAUGAAAGAGAAGAGACUAUUGUGGACCUUACAGAAGAAAGGAUUGCUAUGAACAGCUACAAAUCAACACUAGAUAGCCAAGGUGACAUGAACAAAUUCCUAAAAACAUACAAACUCCCACAACUGACUCAAGAAAAAUAGGAAGUUGGACAGACCUCGGCAGCAGGCACAGAGAUGGAACAAAUAAGGAGCUACUUACCAGCACCUCUGAGGAUGUUCUGGCCCCACCUCCUGGCUGUCCUAGAGUUUCCACUCUGCGAACAGCAGACUUUCUCAUCCUAUAGCCCUGGUGCUUUGCUCCCUUCUCUUCAGUGCAGUGGUGGCGAACUUUCAGCACACACGCCAGGCUGCUUAUCACUGAAAGCUCUAAAAGGUCCACGUCCUCUGUUCAGGCUCCAAGCUCACUGGUCAUUCCUCUGUUCCUUCCAUUUCACUACUGACCUCACCCACUAAAUCUCAUUUCAGCUCUGGACCGAAAUCUCCCAUCACACAGACUAUUGCUCCCCCAGCCACUAGUAGGUAGGGAGACGGCACAGUGGGGCUUUCUCUGUCUGUGCCCUGACAUUUGCGGUUGCACGUCCUCAGCUGCAGGUCUGGUCUGUGAGAAGGGAGUUCACUAUGCAUUCUGCAGGGUCCUCAGAUGCCACCCGCCAGGGGUCUUUCAUGUUUGCUUUAUAUAUAGUGUUGUAGUUGAGAGAAGGAACAAGGGGAAGACUGUCUACGUCCCCUUCCCUGCAAACAGAGAAGCUUUUCAGUAAAUAGUGUCUGCUGGGUAUACAGGUGUGCUGGGUACAGUCCAAACCCCUGCACUGAGACCUGGCCAUCUGAAGGGCUCCCUGUGGCCAGGGAAGAAGCCAGCACCUUCAGGUUCCCAUAUGCAACAGCACCACAGAAUCAGCCCUUUGUUCUGGCUAACCUCUGAGGACCAAUCCCUGAACCCCCUUCUCAGAUCACUUACUUAGAAAAAAGCUCGCCAUGUGCAUCCUUCCUCUAUCCCUUUGAGAUGGAAAUAUCUGUAGCUUCAGGUGUCCUACAGCUAGGAGGAUUCCUUUGAAAAGCCAUCAUCAGGAGGGACAGGGCCCUGCCAACCUAGUCUCACGUACACUGACCUCUUCCCUGCUUUUGUAAUUUUCCUGCCUCCAAUUGGGCACCGGCUCCCUUGUUCUCUUGUAAGAGGGCCAGGCACCCCUGCACAAAUCCACAUGGAGCUCAGCUCUUUCCCUACAGUCAGGAGUACCUGAAUAAAACCUGCUUUCACCACUGGAACUAACAUCCGGCUAUGUAUCGUCUGACAUGCUUCACAAGUGACACAACAUAUGCUGAAUUAACCUAGCUAUGGAGCACUUUGAAGGCACAGAAUAGAGAUAGGCCACUAGAUGCUCUCAACCUGCAGUGAGCAGAGGACUCUAGCACGUCAGGGUUACAAUAAGUUGCAAAAGUGCCGACCACUACUAUGGUGGCCCUCAGUGGGACAGGGCACUGAACUCAAAUCCACUCCAGUACCUGUUUGCCCUGCUCCCAUGAUGUACCCAGCUCUGUUCCAAGGAGGCAGACCUAAGCUGCAGGCCCCCCAGAAAAGGGCAGGGAGAG